rnacentral:rRNA from 1 species
UACGAAGGGUGCAAGCGUUGUUCGGAAUUACUGGGCGUAAAGCGCGCGUAGGCGGGUCGGUCAGUCGAUUGUGAAAGCCCUGGGCUUAACCUGGGAAUUGCAGUCGAUACUGCCGAUCUUGAAUGUCUGAGAGGAUGGCGGAAUUCCCAGUGUAGUAGUGAAAUACGUAGAUAUCGGGAAGAACACCUGAGGCGAAGGCGGCUAUCUGGCGGUACAUUGACGCUGAGGCGCGAAAGCGUGGGGAGCAAACAGG